ensembl:lncRNA
GGAAGAUACUGUGCGAGCAUACACGGAGGCGGGACUGUAAGGGGGAAGAGCCCCUGGGCAUCUGAGGAGUGAAGGCCUGAAGCCAGUCUUGCAAAGAGGUUGUGGCAGGCAUGCAUUUGGAUACCUGGAACUCUGAGCUCUGAAGGGUGCCAGAGCACCAAAAGCUGGAAGCCUUGACCAUGCCUUGGGAGGAGAAAUCUAUAGAGGCUGGUCUAUGUUAAGCAGUGGUUGGAGGGAGCAAGUCUGUGCCAAAGAGGAAAUGCAGCUGCCAAAUCUUUUAUAAAAACCUUAACAACUCACAGGCAUCAAGCUCCAGAAGAGUCUCCAAAUCCCAGAACUUCCUUCCGUGUCAUCGAAUCCUAGAAAUUCAAAUCUGACACUGUUGGCUUCAGGAAAACUGGGCACUUGAGAAGUCAGUGCUACGGACCCCUAUUUUCCAUCUGUGUGAUCUUGGGCAAGUUGCACCUCCAUUUUCCCCAUCGGUAUAAUAGCAAUACAGUAAUGAUAAGAUGGACCGCAGAGGGUGAGGGUUGAACACAAUUGUUUGAGAGAAAUGUUCAGUUCUGUGGCUUGAAUGUGGAAAAUUCUAGAUAAAUGUUGGCUACCAGAAUUAUAGCAGUUACUUAGAAACCUAAACCUUUGCAAACUGUAGCUUUUCUUUCCUUUUGUUUAGGUUUUUGAGGCAGAAUCUGGCUAUACAACCCUAGGCAGCCUUAAACUCUUGAUCCUUCUGCCUCAGCCUCCUGGGUGCUGGGAUUACUGG